rnacentral:rRNA from 1 species
AUUGAACGCUGGCGGCAGGCCUAACACAUGCAAGUCGAGCGAGCGGCGGACGGGUGAGUAAUGUAUGGGAAACUGCCUGAUAGAGGGGGAUAACUACUGGAAACGGUAGCUAAUACCGCAUACCAUCAGAUGUGCCCAGAUGGGAUUAGCUAGUAGGUGGGGUAAAGGCUCACCUAGGCGACGAUCCCUAGCUGGUCUGAGAGGAUGACCAGCCACACUGGAACUGAUGAACGGACCAGACUCCUACGGUAGGCAGCAGGGGGGAAUAUUACACAAUGGGCGCAAGCCUGAUGCAGCCAUGCCGCGUGUGUGAAGAAGGCCUUCGGGUUGUAAAGCACUUUCAGCGGGGAGGCGUUACUCGCAGAAGAAGCACCGGCUAACUCCGUGCCAGCCGCCGCGGUAAUAC